rnacentral:lncRNA from 1 species
GUGUUUAAAUGUAUGUGUUUUAUUCUGUAAAAAGUAAAAAUAAAAUUUCAGAAUAAAAAAAUUUAUAUGUACAGGAAGAGGAGGAAGAGGAGGAAGGACAUAUUUUAUCAGUAUGACAGACUGCACAAGACAUGUUAAAAGGUUUUUUGAAUAAACCAAAUGCUAUCUGCCUUAGAAAUCAUCUGCACUUCAUGAUUAGAAGACACAGAUUCAAGGUAAAAGCUCUUUGAAUACUCAAAAUAUAAAUGUUAUAUAUUUGGUGUUUGCAAAAGGAAAACAUAUCACUUGGAGAUAAAAUAUUACCUAACUUUACUUCCUAUAAACAUUUAAUUGAUAACAUCAAAAAGAAUCAAAGCUAGUGUACCAUUACAUAUUUGCAACUUAAAACCAUAUGUAAUUAUCAAUAAACUCUGAAGACCUAUCACAAAAUGCUUUCAUUUUGAAAAAUGGGCACUUUCAGGAAUGGACACACAAUAUUCCUAUCAUAUUGCUCUUUAAUUCAAAUAAUUUAAAUGAGAUACAUUGGAAAUAAGAUAUAAUUCACAAUUAAUCAUAUAAUCUGAAUCAAGGAUUAGGAGCCAUAAAUAUUUAAUAGAAUGCAGUACUGAUACUAAUAAACAUGAUGUCACUAAACAUAAAAAUAUUAAUAAGUAUGUAUGUGUGAUGACAAAAAAAAUUCUCAGAAAACAAAUCCUUUACAUAGGGGAAAUAUGUUCAGGCCAUAUAUAAUCAAAAAUCCAAACAUAUCCUGAGUUAAAAUGAUACAAUACAUUUAAGAGCAUGUAAUAAUUUAUUAAUACAUUCAAUAUUUUUGAUCACUUUUUUGGUUUAAGACUAAGUUCAGUAUGAUAUAUUUAGGAAAACAUUAUACAAAGAACAACCUAGAAUAGCAUCUGGCACUGUUAAGUACUUGACAAAUAUUUGUUAAGUCAAUAAAAAAAUGUUGAAUGUUUGAAUGUCAAUAUGCCACAAUCCCCCUGUGACUCUUAUUCCAGCUCAGCGAAAAAUAACAAAACCAAAUCUAAGGAUGAGAGAAAAAAGUCUAUAGUGUAUGCCCAUAUCUAACCUAUUUCUUAUCCUUUUGGGGCAAAUUUUCUAAAUGGCCUUUUUUUUCAGAUUUUGCAUAAUCUGUCUCUGUUAUAAUGAACAUCUUUUGACAUUACUGCCUUGGUUUACCAAGUCAUGAAUUCUCCACCAAUAAGAGCUUCUGGAACUCUCAUCUUUCAUGAUUUUUAACCAACAAAGAAGAAAGAUACUUUUCACCGACUCUACUUGUUUAGAGGGAAUUCCCAAAUCUGAAAUAUAAAAUAAAGCAUCUCUGACAUUCAUUAAAACAAAAACAUUUACCCUCUUUAGAGAGAGAGAGGACAAGAUGGCGGAGGAGUAG